UGGGGAAUGUUGGACAAUGGGGGCAACCCUGAUCCAGCCAUGCCGCGUGAGUGAUGACGGCCUUCGGGCUGUGAAGCUCUUUUGGCGGGGACGAUGAUGACGGUACCCGCAGAAUAAGCCCCGGCCAACUUCGUGCCAGCAGCCGUGGUAAGACGAAGGGGGCAAGCGUUGUUUGGAAUUACUGGGCGUAAAGGGCGCGUAGGCGGUUUGCGUAGUCAGGCGUGAAAGCCCUGGGCUUAACCUGGGAUGUGCGCUUGAUACUGGCAGGCUUGGGUGUGGGAGAGAUUGGUGGAAUUCCCAGUGUGGAGGUGAAGUUCGUAGAUAUUGGGAAGAACACCGGUGGCGAAGGCGGCCAACUGGACCAC
rnacentral:rRNA from 1 species